rnacentral:rRNA from 1 species
UGGCUCAGGACGAACGCUGGCGGCAGGCCUAACACAUGCAAGUCGAACGGUAACAGGAAACAGCUUGCUGUUUCGCUGACGAGUGGCGGACGGGUGAGUAAUGUCUGGGAAACUGCCUGAUGGAGGGGGAUAACUACUGGAAACGGUAGCUAAUACCGCAUAACGUCGCAAGACCAAAGAGGGGGACCUUCGGGCCUCUUGCCAUCGGAUGUGCCCAGAUGGGAUUAGCUUGUUGGUGGGGUAACGGCUCACCAAGGCGACGAUCCCUAGCUGGUCUGAGAGGAUGACCAGCCACACUGAACUAGACACGUCCC